CUAUCGUCUUAUCCAUUUAUCAGAUCACAUCCCAUUCCUAUUUGUCCUUAGUCUCCGUCACCAAAUCAAACAUAAAUACAUAAACAAGUAACGUGCAUCCAACAAUGCAAUCAUAUCUUAGAUUCCCAAAAUCAAACAGUAGUGAAAUAAGCAGCAAUACAUGCAUUUAAAAUCAUAAAAUAGAUAAACCAUAUACCAUAAUGCUUUUAAAUUAUAAAAUAAAUCAAACAGGAAUCGACAGAGAAUAAUGUCUGGUUCGGGCUCCAUUAGCAACCGUAAUUAAUUAUGCGUCUCUAUUUAAUUUGUACAAAAUACAGUAUUAUCAUUUAUUCAAACUUCAAUUCCAUAAUAGGAAAUAGGGUGAGGGGUCCUU
rnacentral:lncRNA from 1 species